rnacentral:rRNA from 1 species
AACGAACGCUGGCGGCGUGCCUAACACAUGCAAGUCGAACGAGAAAGGGGCUUCGGCUCCGAGUAAAGUGGCGCACGGGUGAGUAACACGUGGGUAACCUGCCUCUACGAUUGGGAUAACUCGUCGAAAGAUGAGCUAAUACCGAAUGAGACCACAGUUCCUGCGGGAAAAGAGGUCAAAGGUAGCCUCUGCUUGCAAGCUAUCACUUAGAGAUGGGCCUGCGCACCAUUAGCUAGUUGGUAGGGUAACGGCCUACCAAGGCAAAGAUGGUUAGCUGGUCUGAGAGGAUGAUCAGCCACACUGGAACUGAGACACGGUCCAGACUCCUACGGGAGGCAGCAGUGGGGAAUAUUGCGCAAUGGGCGAAAGCCUGACGCAGCAACGCCGCGUGAGUGAUGAAGGCCUUCGGGUCGUAAAGCUCUGUCGGGAGGAACGAAUGCUCCUGAGGUUAACAGCCUCGGGAGGUGACGGUACCUUCAAAGGAAGCACCGGCUAACUCUGUGCCAGCAGCCGCCGUAAAAC